CCUACGGGGAGCAGCAGUAGGGAAUUUUCGUCAAUGGGCGCAAGCCUGAACGAGCAAUGCCGCGUGAACGAGGAAGGUAUUCGGAUCGUAAAGUUCUGUUGAAGGGGAAAAAGAGCGGAGAGAGGAAAUGCUUUCUGAUUGAUAUUACACUUCGAGGAAGUCACGGCUAACUACGUGCCAGCAGCCGCGGUAAUACGUAGGUGGCGAGCGUUAUCCGGAUUGAUUGGGCGGAAAGGGUGCGUAGGCGGCCUGGUAAGUAUGGGGUGAAAGGUACCGGCGCAACCGUUAGAGGCUCUGGAAACUGUCGGGAUAGAGGGCAGGAGAGGGCGGUGGAACUCCAUGUGUAGCGGGAAAAUG
rnacentral:rRNA from 1 species